rnacentral:tRNA from 1 species
UCUAAAGUGGCAGAUUAGUGCAAUAGAUUUAAGAUCUAUAUAUAAAGCCCGCGCUUUCAUUAGAA